UUUCUGACUGAGCAGAACAGUGACAGCAAGUUUCCCUCCACAAACGAUAACUUCACUGAGACGACUCCACGAGCUGAAGAGACUUCAAGAACGGACAAACAUCAGUUGUUCCUGUUAAUUCAGGGGCUGCAGAAGAAAAAAGGAGCAAAUCCAGUAGAGAUUUAUGAUUAGGAUUUGUGUUCGGUGUGAUAUUAUUUACCAACAAUCAUGUAGCUUAUUAGUAUGGUGUUACAUAAAACCUAAAGAUAAAAUGUACACUUGUUGUGACUUAUAAAGCAACAAUUUUACCGGUU